rnacentral:rRNA from 1 species
UCCUGGCUCAGGAUGAACGCUAGCUACAGGCUUAACACAUGCAAGUCGAGGGGCAGCAUGAUCUUAGCUUGCUAAGAUUGAUGGCGACCGGCGCACGGGUGAGUAACGCGUAUCCAACCUUCCCUGUACUAGGGGAUAGCCCGGCGAAAGUCGGAUUAAUACCCUAUGUUUUCCGAAGCGAGCAUUUAAUUUGGAACAAAGGUUUACCGGUAUAGGAUGGGGAUGCGUCUGAUUAGAUAGUAGGCGGGGUAACGGCCCACCUAGUCGACGAUCAGUAGGGGUUCUGAGAGGAAGGUCCCCCACAUUGGAACUGAGACACGGUCCAAACUCCUACGGGAGGCAGCAGUGAGGAAUAUUGGUCAAUGGACGAGAGUCUGAACCAGCCAAGUAGCGUGCAGGAUGACGGCCCUAUGGGUUGUAAACUGCUUUUAUAUAGGGAUAAAGUGAGGGACGUGUCCCUUAUUGUAGGUACUAUAUGAAUAAGGACCGGCUAAUUCCGUGCCAGCAGCCGC